rnacentral:rRNA from 1 species
GACGAACGCUGGCGGCGUGCUUAACACAUGCAAGUCGAACGGUAUCCGUGCUUUCGGGUUUGGUGUGAGUGGCGAAUGGGUGAGUAACACGUGAGUAACCUGCCCCCUUCUUUUGGAUAACGUCGGUAAAUCGUCGCUACUACUGGUUAUUCUUUCUGCCUCGCGUGGUGUUGUUUGGGAUUGGUUUCUGGUGGUGGAUGGGCUGGCGGCCUAUCAGCUUGUUGGUUGGGUGAUGGCCUACCAAGGCUUUGACGGGAAGCCGGCGUGGGAGGGUGUCCGGGAACACGGGGACGGAGACACGGCGAAGACGACUACGGGAGGCAGCAGAGGGGAAGAAUGAACAAGGGGCGCAAGCCUGAUGCAGCGAGGCCGAGGGAGGGAUGACGGGCUUCGGGUGGUAAACCUCUGUCAGUAUGGAACAAGGAUCAUUCUUUUGGGGGGUUUGAGGGUACGUGCAGAAGAAGCGCCGGCUAACUACGUG